GCCACUACAAGGUUCCUAGAUGACCUACCUUACUCAGUAUAGUCCAGCACGGGUUAACCUUGGUUCUUGUGGGCUGACCCCAUACUGAGCCUCAGGGUUGCCUGGGGCAGGCCAAAGUUACGCCCAAGGAAUGUCUGCUAGGAAAAUGUACUUACCCUGACAUCAGUAGCAUCUCCGUGCCUGAUAAUACUGGCCCAAGUAGCUGGCUCACUGCUGUUUUCAAAAUAAUGAAAGACCUUCAACACUCUCUCCAUUGCCCCCGGGGAGCGUUCUACCCCGGCACCCAGAAGAGUAACAUUUAAUAAUAUGAAUGGAGAAACAAACUGGCCUAUCCAUACAUCAGCCCAGAAGAGCAUUCAGCCAUAACUAGGAACAAGGUACUGGUGCCACUACAACAUGGAUAAACCUUGACAAGAUGAUGGUAGUAAAAGAAGCCAGAUGAAAGACUGAAUGUUGUGGGAUCCAUUUAUUUGACAACUCCAGAACAGGCAAAUCCCGGGAGACAGAAAGUAGAGCUUUUCAACACUGGUAGCUGGGCUAUAAUUUGAUAAAAGCAUCUUGGAAAUGAUCUCUGAUAUAAUUGAAGAGCACCUCACGCUACGACCAUUUCACUCUUAAGUACACACCAAAGAGAAAUACAGGCGCACAGUCACCAAAAGACACAUGUGGUAUUCACAGCAGUACUAUUCAUAUAGUUCAAAACUGGAACAGACCAAACAUCCAUCAAUAAUAAAAGAAACUGUGGUAUAUUCUUAAGUGGAAUACCAUACAGCAAUGAAAAAUUAUUAAGUGCUACAUGCAACAACAUGGAUGAAUCUAAUGGACAUUCUGAUAAACAGGCAAAACUGAGUCAAGGUGACAGAGACCAAGGCGGGUCACCUCCUCAGGGAUGCUGAUUGCCAGGAACAUGAGGGAAGCUGCUAGGGUAAGUAAACACUGAUAGGGAAGGUAGUAGUUAAGCCUACACAGGAUGUGUGCAUUUUAUAGUAUAUGUGCUAUGUUUCAAUUAUGUACCUUUUUGCACAAAAUGAGAACAAAAAUUUUUGUCAGAAGACUCUUAUAUAACAAUUGGCCAAAAGCAAUAUGCCACACCAAAGCACACUGGCUAAAUAUAUUGCCUGAGCCACAGUUACCAACCUACCUAGCAAAAAAGCAAUUCAGAUGGCCACAUUUUAUAAAUGCCAGCUGUUCUUGAUUUUUACAUUUCUGCUUAGGCCUCUCUUCUAAUUGUACAUAACCAUGCUAUUUUGCAAAACACGUAAAAUCAGUGAUGCUUGCAAAUACCAAAUUACUGUUCAUUUACUACUUUCUAUGAAAGGAGUUCUUUAUGUACAAAUGGACAUACAUGUGCACCUAAGUACAUACUGAUGACAGAGAUAUUUGAGAAUUUGCUAAGAAAUGUAAAAUUUUCAAGAGAAAAAUGUAUACAUACUAAAAUACACGAAAUUUUGUAUGUCAUUGCAAAGUUCAUGGAUCCCCUAAAACUCAUACUUGGACCCUAGCUCUAAGACCAGCAGUCCCCCCAAGGUAGACAAAUGUCUGCCCAGGAGGACACAGGUCACCUCGUUUAAUUUCAUUUCCACCACAACUGCUAGAGGUGGAUGGUGCUUGCCUGGUUAUCCCGAUAUAAAAGUCUAAGAUGAAAGACACUGCACAUUCAAGGACACAAAGCUCCUCAGUGGCCAGGUUGUGACAGAGUGACCCUGAAGCCCUUUCAGUUAAGGUACACCGUACAUCUAAACACCAAGGAGCCCCUUUAGCCCCAUCUAACAAUGUUCUCUGCCCGAGAUCCUCAGUUCACCUUACUCAGUACUCACACAGGGACACACACGCACUACCAUAGUCCCCGUACUAAAAGUAAGCACAUGCUGAUGGAUGUGCCACAUAUUAUCACACAUAUAGGAGGAAAGGCCAGAGAAACCUGGUGGGUCUGGCACAUCUUGUAAAGGAGGUUUCCGAUGCAGCUCCCUGGGGACUGACUGGCAAUGGGAAGAGGAAGGCAGGAAGAGAUUUAUCAUUCAAUCAAUGGUGGCUAACAGCUAACAUGAAAAGAAGUGGAGGAAGUGCGGCUAGAUGGAGCGGGUAGACGACUGGAGGGAGGCUGGAUGCAUGUCUGUGUCACACGGCAGACCCGCCACUCUCCUGGAAAUCACAGUAAGGACCGUCCCUUUGAAGCCAGGCUGAGGAAGUCCAUGCCUGGUUCCUCAUCACUUCUACUGAGCACAUUAAUCAUGAUAUACAUUCUCGAACACGUCUUUAUUAACUGCAAAUUUCCCAGAUGAAAGAAAACAUGGUUAAAGUAUUUUUUAUAAUAUUACUUUAUAAUUAAACUACAUAUUUAAAGAUGUAAAGGAAAACAGUUUAAUGUAGAUGUUCAAAAUCCAUGUGGAAAACCUACACUAAUCCCUUCGGCCCCUCAACACUGCUGAGUUUCUACGUCCCAUACUGCACACAGCAUCAAAACAUUUUCCUUACAGAGACUAUCUCAGAUUCCUUCAAAGAGUAGAAAAAUCACACUUGUAGCUGGGGGCCAUGGUGCUCCUCCUGAACCUCCUCCUGCCCUCAAAGCGCCCACGUUCUCCUUGCCAUGCUCCACAGCCAUACUCCACAGCCCCCCCCCUUCCUCAGUACCUCCUGUUCUCAGUAAUCCUGAGUCUGGCUCCUGGCUCCCCUCUGAUGAGCCCCACUAGGCACUGUGCCCUGUGCAGAGUCCCUGAGCCCUGGGAGGGUUACAGAUGGCGAAGAGUCACGUCUGUUCCCCUGAAAGCACUUUCCAACUUGAAAGAGGUGUGAGACCGGAGCCUAGCCCUCUGUGAUGUUUAGAGACAGGAGAGAGAAAGCUGCUCGUUACCAGAAGAAACGAAGAAGCUACAGCCGAUGGGCUAGGAGGGAAACGGAGAGGCUAAGAGACCAAGUCAAGGAAGCACAUGCCAAACGGACAACUUGGUAGGAGGAAGAACCGUGGUGCCCUGACAGGUCAUGGUGCAGUGAUGGGGCGGGGGUGGGGGUGGCCUGAGAGGCGGUCCAACAGUGUAUAAAGAACAGGGGUACAGACAGGAAUCAUAAGGAACUCAGAGGAGAACAAAGACAUGGGACCCACCAGCAGACAAGGAUCCUCCCAUUGGCCCCGCGUGUGGCACAUGAAAGCCACACAGCUGAUGCACUGACUAGAAACCAGGGCAGGCGAUUCUGCAGAUGUUCACUAAAUACAUGACUAAAAUCCCACUUUACUCAAAGAUAGUAUAUACUUAGCCUUCAUUAAAUAUGACAAAACUGAGGCACCUAGUUGGCUCAAUCUGUAGGGCAGGAGACUCGAUCUCAGGGUUGAAAGUUCAAGGCCCACGGUGGGUGUAGAGUUUACUUAAAAAAGAAAAGGCAAAAGUGAGUCUUGUAUUACAAGAUAAAAAAUAAAAAGCCUUUUACUGAAUAUUGCCAAUGUGCUAACUAUCUAAGCAGUUCUGUUAUAUACAUUAUCUCAUUUAAU